GCUCUGGUGGCCUAGUGUUUAGAGCGUCCGCCUCGGAUACUGGAGGUUGUUGGUUCGAACCCCUGCCAGAUCA